AUCGCACCAGGCAGUUGUAGAGUGCCAGCACAGCACGCCCAAUUAGCUUACAUUCUUUAACGCUCCACUUUACCAACAGAUUUGAGGACCAUGGAGUCCAAGAAAAUCCAGUCCUUGAGCCCCACAGGCCAGGAAUCGCGACGCUUUGGAGAUGAGGACAGACUUCUUUUUUCUUCUUCUUCGUGUUCUGCAGUAAAACGGAGCCUCUUUGACACAUUUUUCUAGGUUGCUCCCGCAUAAACAUGCCCAGGAAGUGCUGGUCUCUUGCAGCAGUACAGUCUUCUUGUAAAACCAAUUUGUGGACCAACGUGGCAAUUAGACAUUCCCCGGCUCAUCACUACCAAUGACCAUGAGGCGUCCCACAGCGAGGGAAAGUCUGGGCAUGCUAAGGCACUCUGCUGUCAGUGUCAAAAAGUAGCCUACCAGGGGGUCUUUCUAAUUAAACUGGUGCCCAGUCCAAGGCUGUGGGUGAUGGGGCAUCUGCUGUGUGCAGUGGCUUGAAAUCCUCCAGCUGCCCAUCUGCAAAACCUCUCAUCUGGCUUCCAUCGAAAGAGGAGGUUUAGGAAAAUGCCUCUAUUUUCCCUAAUCUCCCUCAGUGCCACCCCACCCCACCCAUCUCUCUACUGCCUUAUCCAUAUUUCAUGAAGAGCUCUGGAGGUAUGAAAUUGUCUGAAACUAAUCCACUACUGGAUAUUUAGUCCCAGAUUAAAAUCACUCGCUUCACUGCCUCAUAAUUCUGUUCCUAUUGAUUGCCUGGGUCCAAAUAUAAGUCAGGGAUAUAUGGAACAUUUUUCCUUAGGCUCUCCGAAAUAGUAUCAUUCCAACUUCCCUGCACUGGUUCCAUGCAAAUGCUUUCAUCCUCGUUGAGCAUUUUUCUGGCAAUAGCAAGUCAGCACAGCUUUUGUUAAAGCUUUUUUUCUUUUUUACUGUUUUUUUUUUUUUCGGGCUCACAUUUUUGACUUGUUGCAAACACCUGAGAAAGUCCCACUUGCACACCCACAGCACAGUUUAAAAAGCGCUCAUGCAAACCCGAAAACAUUCCCCCAUGAUCAAGACAGACAGCUGAAGAUGCUCAGGCUUGGAGUCUCUCUGUUUUUAAAGGUAGAAAGAGGAAUGUGGGAGUAUUAUGACAUGUUAGUGACACUCAGGAACACAUCAAACCUUUUGUUGCCUGAAGGAGAAGUGUGGGACUCUCUUCACGAGACUGUAAAAAAAAAAUAGCUUGUCUGUCAACAUGAGCUAACACCAUA